GCCCAUGAGUCAGGUUAUCCAAUGUACUGUUCCCCGUUUGCCAUCCUCCCAACGACCCCACAUCGGGAGAUGGCCUAGAGCACCGCUCGUACUCUGGCCGACCGUGUUUGUCAAAUUACAUUCCCUCACCCAUGGCGUCCUGCUGGCAGUCCGAACCUUGCUCCUCGCCCACCACUGUACUGAUGACCGUUUUCGAUGGCGGUGAGCGAGGAGGACGUCCGAGGCAGUCUUGUCAAAAGAUCAGAUACUUUUGAGCAACAAUCCGUCCAUGGCUGUGCACGUUUGCACAUCGGCCGGCAACUGGACAUGACCAAGUCUCAGCGUGGCCACUAACCCCAGGACCUGCGGGGGAACCCCUCGUCAUGGCGAGCGUCGUCUCUACGAGCUUCGCAUCGAGCGUCCUAAACGCUCACCAGGUGCACUUUGUGCGUUUUUUCUAGAUGGUCUAGCUGGCGAGGGUGGCGCACGCCUUAGACAAGUUAACUGUUUGUUCAGUUGCACUAGCUAGCGCUCACUAGGGUGCAUAGCUACACUACAAAAUUGCUUAGCUGUAAGCCCGAGGUUUCGUGGGCAUGGCUUGCGGCCACACGGGUCUUCUCCGUGCCGGAAUCGAAGAGGACGGGCCACGUGUUGCGGGGUGGCGG
rnacentral:lncRNA from 1 species